rnacentral:rRNA from 1 species
UACGUAGGGGGCAAGCGUUAUCCGGAUUUACUGGGUGUAAAGGGAGCGUAGGUGGUUUGGCAAGUCAGAUGUGAAAGCCCGGGGCUCAACUCCGGGAUUGCAUUUGAAACUGCCUAACUAGAGUGCAGGAGAGGUAAGUGGAAUUCCUAGUGUAGCGGUGAAAUGCGUAGAUAUUAGGAGGAACACCAGUGGCGAAGGCGGCUUACUGGACUGUAACUGACACUGAGGCUCGAAAGCGUGGGGAGCAAACAGG